rnacentral:rRNA from 1 species
UCGGCUUAGAGUUUGAUCCUGGCUCAGGACGAACGCUGGCGGCGUGUCUAAUACAUGCAAGUCGAACGAAUUGGUGCUUGCAUCAUUGAGUGGCGAACUGGUGAGUAACACGUGGGAAACCUGCCCAGAAGCGGGGGAUAACACCUGGAAACAGAUGCUAAUACCGCAUAACAACUUGGCCGCAUGGUCCGAGUUGAAAGAUGUUCGUAUCACUUUUGGAUGGUCCCGCGGCGUAUUAGCUAGAUGGUGGGGUAACGGCUCACCAUGGCAAUGAUACGUAGCCGACCUGAGAGGGUAAUCGGCCACAUUGGGACUGAGACACGGCCCAAACUCCUACGGGAGGCAGCAGUAGGGAAUCUUCCACAAUGGACGAAAGUCUGAUGGAGCAACGCCGCGUGAGUGAAGAAGGGUUUCGGCUCGUAAAACUCUGUUGUUAAAGAAGAACAUAUCUGAGGUAAUUCAGGUAUUGACGGUAUUUAACCAGAAAGCCACGGCUAACUACGUGCCAGCAGCCGCGGUAAUACGUACGUGGCAAGCGUUGUCCGGAUUUAUUGGGCGUAAAGCGAGCGCAGCGGUUUUUUAAGUCUGAUGUGAAAGCCUUCGGCUCAACCGAAGAAGUGCAUCGGAAACUGGGAAACUUGAGUGCAGAAGA